rnacentral:rRNA from 1 species
UACGUAGGGUGCAAGCGUUGUCCGGAAUUAUUGGGCGUAAAGAGCUCGUAGGCGGUCUGUUGCGUCGGCUGUGAAAACCCGGGGCUCAACCCCGGGCCUGCAGCCGAUACGGGCAGACUAGAGUUCGGCAGGGGAGACUGGAAUUCCUGGUGUAGCGGUGAAAUGCGCAGAUAUCAGGAGGAACACCGGAGGCGAAGGCGGCUCACUGGGUCUCUUCUGACGCUGAGGAACGAAAGCUAGGGGAGCAAACGGG